CCGUAGGUGAACUGCGGAGGGAUCAUUA
rnacentral:rRNA from 1 species